rnacentral:rRNA from 1 species
UCAAGCUAUAAAGAGCGCAAGGGGAAUGCCUUGGCAUCAGGAGCCGAAGAAGGACGUGACAAGCUGCGAAAAGCCUCGGGGAGGAGCAAAUAUCCAUUGAUCCGGGGAUAUCCGAAUGGGGCAACCCGGCGGCGCAAUACGCCGUCAUCCUGCGUUGAAUCAAAUAGGCGUAGGAAGGGAACCGCCUGAACUGAAACAUCUAAGUAGGGCGAGGAAAAGACAUCAACCGAGAUUCCGCAAGUAGUGGCGAGCGAACGCGGAAGAGGCCAAACCGGAGGAUUUAUUCUCCGGGGUUGCGGACAGACAUCAUGAUCAGAGGAAGCUAGGAGAACGGCAUGGGAAGGCCGGCUAGAAAGGGUGAGAGCCCCGUAUCCGAAAGCAGGAGCUGACAGUCUGGAUCCAGAGUACCGCGGGACACGUGAAACCCCGUGGGAAACAGGGGGGACCACCCUCCAAGCCUAAAUACUACCUGAUGACCGAUAGAGGAGCAGUACCGUGAGGGAAAGGUGAAAAGGACCCCGGGAGGGGAGUGAAAGAGAACCUGAAACCUUGUGCUUACAAGCAGUCAGAGCGCGUUAAAGCGUGAUGACGUACUUUUUGUAGAACGGUCCGGCGAGUUAUAGUAACGAGCAAGCUUAAGGUAUUCAGUACCGAAGGCGCAGCGAGAGCGAGUCUGAAUAGGGCGUAUAAAGUUCGUUGCCAUAGACCCGAAACCGGGUGACCUAUCCAUGAGCAGGCUGAAGUGGAGGUAAAACUCCAUGGAGGGCCGAACCGACCCCCGUUGCAAUGGUGGCGGAUGACUUGUGGAUAGCGGAGAAAUUCCAAUCGAACUCGGAGAUAGCUGGUUCUCCCCGAAAUAGCUUUAGGGCUAGCGUUAUUUUAGAUUACCGGAGGUAAAGCACUGAAUGGGCUAGGGGCCGAGAGGUUACUGAACCCUAUCAAACUAAGAAUGCCGGAUAAUGAUAAUCGGGAGUCAGACAGUGUGAGAUAAGUUUCAUUGUCAAAAGGGAAACAGCCCAGACCCACAGCUAAGGUCCCAAAGUACAGUUAAGUGGUGAAGGAUGUGGAAUUGCAUAGACAACCAGGAUGUUGGCUUAGAAGCAGCCACUCAUUAAAAGAGUGCGUAAUAGCUCACUGGUCGAGUGACUCUGCGCGGAAAAUAUAACGGGGCUAAGCACACAACCGAAGCUUGGGAUUGUCAAAAGACAGUGGUAGGGGAGCGUCGAAUACGGGGUGAAGUCGUAUCGGAAGGAACGGUGGACUGUAUUCGAGUGAGAAUGCCGGAAUGAGUAGCGAGAAUUAUGUGGGAAUCAUAAUGGCCGAAAAUCUAAGGUUUCUUGGGGAAGGUUCGUCCGCCCAAGGUAAGCCGGGAGCUAAGGCGAGGCCGCAAGGCGUAGUCGAUGCACAUACGGUUGAAAUUCCGUAGCCACCUUAUUGAUAAAAAGCUGACACAUGGAGAUAGCGGGACCCGGGCGUUGGUUGACCCGGGCGUAAGGGACCGAAAUCAAGUAGGGAAGUCCGCGAUGCUCUGUGGCGAGAAAAGGCGAAGAUAAGGUGCCCGUACCGCAAACCGACACAGGUAGAUGAGGAGAGAAUCCUAAGGCCAACGGGAGAAGGGUUGUUAAGGAACUCGGCAAAUUGACCCCGUAACUUCGGGAGAAGGGGUGCUCCAGAGAUGGAGCCGCAGAGAAUCGGCCCAAGCAACUGUUUACCAAAAACACAGGUUUGUGCUAAAUCGAAAGAUGACGUAUACGAGCUGACGCCUGCCCGGUGCUGGAAGGUUAAGAGGAGAUGUGCAAGCAUUGAAUCGAAGCCCCAGUGAACGGCGGCCGUAACUAUAACGGUCCUAAGGUAGCGAAAUUCCUUGUCAGGUAAG